CAGUAAGGGAUAUUGCGCGAAUGGACGAAAGUCUGACGCAGCAACGCCGCGUGCGGGAGGAAGGCCUUCGGGUCGUAAACCGCUUUUCGAGGUGAAGAGCGAGGACGGUAGCCUCGGAAGAAGUCUCGGCUAACUACGUGCCAGCAGCCGCGGUAAAACGUAGGAGGCGAGCGUUAUCCGGAUUUACUGGGUGUAAAGCGCGUGCAGGCGGUUGGAUAAGUGUGAUGUGAAAGCGCCUGGCUCAACCGGGCGAGGACGUCGCAAACUGUUCGACUGGAGGCAGGGAGAGGUCUGUGGAAUUCCGGGUGUAGUGGUGAAAUGCGUAGAGAUCCGGAGGAACACCAGUGGCGAAGGCGGCAGACUGGCCCUGACCUGACGCUCAGACGCGAAAGCACGGGGAGCGAACGG
rnacentral:rRNA from 1 species